ensembl:lncRNA
AUGCACUCCAGCUGGUUUUGAUCCACACGAGACACCAGCGUGUAUGCGCACUCGCGUGUUUAUAUAUCUGCAUAUUACAGAAAAUGCGCUUGGUAAGCAGGAGACCUCCAUUUCAUCUUCCUUUUACUGAACGGCAAUCUCCUGGAGAGGAAGAUCCAUGAAAUGUCAGGGAAGAUUAUAACUCCGGGCGGUCCAAAGAGAUGAGAACAUGGCGGAGUUCGAAUUCAUCCCUUACCUGAAUCCAGACUUAGAGGAAGGGGCAAUCAAGAAGGCAGAUUUCAAUGACAAAAGAGUGAUGAAAAGGAGAGCAUCUUCCCCAGGCACCAUGCACCGUGUGAGGGGCAACUGGCACAGCUUGCCCAGGGAAAAAUCCAUUUUUGGAAUAACAUUUUCUACAAAAAGAAUUUUUU